UACGUAGGGCGCAAGCGUUAUCCGGAAUUAUUGGGCGUAAAGAGCUCGUAGGCGGUUCUGUCGCGUCGGAUGAGAAACGACGGGCACCACCCGUGCCUGCAUUCGAUACGGGCAGACUAGAGUUCGGUAGGGGAGACUGGAAUUCCUGGUGUAGCGGUGAAAUGCGUAGAGAUCUGGAGGAAUACCGGUGGCGAAGGCGGCCCCCCUGGACGAAGACUGACGCUCAGGUGCGAAAGCGUGGGGAGCAAACAGGG
rnacentral:rRNA from 1 species